rnacentral:rRNA from 1 species
AGUGAACGCUGGCGGUAGGCCUAACACAUGCAAGUCGAACGGCAGCACAGUAAGAGCUUGCUCUUACGGGAGGCGAGUGGCGGACGGGUGAGGAAUACAUCGGAAUCUACUUUUUCGUGGGGGAUAACGUAGGGAAACUUACGCUAAUACCGCAUACGACCUACGGGUGAAACCAGGGGAUCUUCGGACCUUGCGCGAUUGAAUGAGCCGAUGUCGGAUUAGCUAGUUGGCGGGGUAAAGGCCCACCAAGGCGACGAUCCGUAGCUGGUCUGAGAGGAUGAUCAGCCACACUGGAACUGAGACACGGUCCAGACUCCUACGGGAGGCAGCAGUGGGGAAUAUUGGACAAUGGGCGCAAGCCUGAUCCAGCCAUACCGCGUGGGUGAAGAAGGCCUUCGGGUUGUAAAGCCCUUUUGUUGGGAAAGAAAAGAAGCAGGUUAAUACCCCGCUGUUCUGACGGUACCCAAAGAAUAAGCACCGGCUAACUUCGUG